GACGAACGCUGGCGGCGUGCCUAAUACAUGCAAGUAGAACGCUGAAGAGAGGAGCUUGCUCUUCUUGGAUGAGUUGCGAACGGGUGAGUAACGCGUAGGUAACCUGCCUUGUAGCGGGGGAUAACUAUUGGAAACGAUAGCUAAUACCGCAUAACAAUGGAUGACACAUGUCAUUUAUUUGAAAGGGGCAAUUGCUCCACUACAAGAUGGACCUGCGUUGUAUUAGCUAGUAGGUGAGGUAACGGCUCACCUAGGCGACGAUACAUAGCCGACCUGAGAGGGUGAUCGGCCACACUGGGACUGAGACACGGCCCAGACUCCUACGGGAGGCAGCAGUAGGGAAUCUUCGGCAAUGGGGGCAACCCUGACCGAGCAACGCCGCGUGAGUGAAGAAGGUUGUCGGAUCGUAAAGCUCUGUUGUAAGUCAAGAACGAGUGUGAGAGUGGAAAGUUCACACUGUGACGGUAGCUUACCAGAAAGGGACGGCUAACUACGUG
rnacentral:rRNA from 1 species